UCUUCAGUGAGGUACAUCCUUACCUGUUACUCCAUACGUGGAGUAUCAGAAAAUGAUGAAUGGGGAAGUAUGAGAUAUGAUUAAGAUCUCCAGCUCACAAGGAACAGCAACACCUUGUGAGUCCAUUCUGAU